AAAUUGAAGAGUUUGAUCAUGGCUCAGAUUGAACGCUGGCGGCAGGCCUAACACAUGCAAGUCGAACGGUGUCGAACGGU
rnacentral:rRNA from 1 species